rnacentral:rRNA from 1 species
AUAGCGUAUAUUAAAGUUGUUGCAGUUAAAAAGCUCGUAGUUGAACCUUGGGCCUGGCUGGCCGGUCCGCCUCACCGCGUGCACUGGUCCGGCCGGGCCUUUCCUUCUGGGGAGCCGCAUGCCCUUCACUGGGUGUGUCGGGGAACCAGGACUUUUACUUUGAAAAAAUUAGAGUGUUCAAAGCAGGCCUAUGCUCGAAUACAUUAGCAUGGAAUAAUAGAAUAGGACGUGUGGUUCUAUUUUGUUGGUUUCUAGAGCCGCCGUAAUGAUUAAUAGGGAUAGUCGGGGGCAUCAGUAUUCAAUUGUCAGAGGUGAAAUUCUUGGAUUUAUUGAAGACUAACUACUG